AAUAGAGAUCAUUCUGUCACAAUAUUUCCUAAUGUCAUUUGUACUACAUCAUUCACUAAUACUCACUAAAGGAGAGCUUGAACAUAUGUACUUAUGUAAACCCUUCACAAUUAAUGAGAACUCCUCUACUCCGUGGACGUAACCAAUCUAGGUGAACCACGUACAUCUUGUCUUUGCUUCCCUGUCUCUAUUCAUUUACAUACUAAUCCACACUAGUGACCGGAGCAAUCUAGCAAAGGUCACAAACUUGACACUUUCUGUUGUACGAAAGUCCUCACUGAUUUUGUGCAUCAACAGACUACACUCCCUAUAGUAGGUAUAUGUAAGAAGAUUGUUGUAAACAUGUAAACUAACACUCACAUAUGUUAUGAUCAAAGAAGGCAAUUUCUGGAAUUAUCAAUGCAUGUAUAUAUAUGAUCUCAUGAAUGGAAUGCCACUACUUAGACGCGAGAACCAGGGAUACCAUAUGCUCAUACCAAUCCCAAACUCCACAUAUUGAAACACACAACAACCAAGAUAAAGUCAAAGGGUUGUAACGGGGCUAAGGGUAUUGGCUAAAAAAGAAAGGUUAAGGAUAAACAAAGGUUCUUAAAGCAAUAGUAAGCAAAGUAAUGAAAUUGACACUUAGAAUUCACUUUUGAAUGCAGCAAAUAACUUGAAACACUAAGGGGAUUUCGUACAUACUUAGGGUUAUAUUCAAACUUUUUGGACCCUUUCUUCAACAACCAAUACUUGUGAGUUCUUUCUCACUUAUUUCACAACUUUUUUCUUUCUUUUUCCACUUUUUCUUCUUUUUCACGUUUUUUUUUUCUUUUUUUUUCUUUCUACUUGUGUACAUAACCUUCCCCCACACUUGAUUUUUGCAAUAUGUUUGACCAAAAGGAAUUCCCUCUAAGUCAUGCUCCACUAUACUUUAAGAACAAGGGUAUGGAUAGUCCUAUUCUAGGCUAGGUCGGGGAUAAUGUGGCUAACAAAGAAAAUAGGCUAAAUAAGGCUCAAAGGGGUUAAACCUACAAUACAUAUGCACUCAAUUUUAAGCUUUGCAUGAAACAGGCAUGAGUUCUAGUAUUUGGAACUAAAGUGAUAAAACGCAUUCUAAGUAGCAACCAAGCAAAGAAUAAUGAGAUCAUGCAACGACUUAGAAAAAAAGAAAUCACAGAUUAAUAACUCUCCAAAUAACGUUUAUAGGCCCAAGUCUCUCAGGGUUGUAGCGUUAAUUUGAGUUCCUUCCUUCAAGCAUGUUACAAAAACUGAUUUUUUUCCUUUGUGAUUACAUGUGAAUUCGUAAACGACAACUAUAACCAAGCAUAAACCAAAGAGCAUAUCAAACUUCCACCCAUGUUUGUAACUUUCUUUAAUAGUCAUGCAAUUAAAAACCAAAUCCUCAUCAUUGUGUUGGAAGGUACCCUGAGACACAAACAUACAAAAACGACUCUAAAAAUACUCUUUUUGGGUUUUUCAAAACUUUUUCUAUUUUUUUUUCAAAUUUUUGUAUUUUUCUUUCCGAACACACUAAAACAGUUUAAAACACACUAAAAAUACUUACAAAUAGUGAAAAACAACUCUACAGGGGAUAGGUGAUAAAAACCCACGAAUUUUCAAUAAAAACACUUGUUUACCCCCUACACUUAAACCAAACAUUGUCCUCAAUGUUUCAAACAUAGACUCACACAUAAGCAAGCAAACAACACAACCAAAAAACAUGACAAACAUGGCAAAGGAAAAGUAAGAAAGAGUAGAGUUUAAGAACACAAAUCUGGUUAUGAUGCUGGAGCUUCCUAGUUCUUCUUUAUUCGCAUGGGUUGCCUCCUCAGAAGCUCUUGCUUUAACAUCUUCCAGCCGGACGAUACCUCAUUUUAAGCUUCAUUAGGGCUCAUGGCAUGGAAUUAAUCUUUGAAUGGGAGGUGAUACUUGAAAUGAUCCGGGAAUGGUUUAAAUUCUAGAGUGGGUGCCUGAAUCAUUAACAAUGUUGAUGCACAACACCGGAGGUCUUGGUACAACGUAAAUCCGACCGUGAAUCUGCAAGUAAUGUAAAUGACACAAGAUGUAUCAUGGUUCACCCCAAGGUUUGGGCUACGUCCACACUGAUUGUAUUGUAUUUUUUAGAGAAUUGUAAGGGAGAGAGUGUGAGGAUCUUCUCUGAAUAUGAGAGACUUAGGGUUUGUGAGGGUGAGGAGGCCCUUUUAUAGAAUAAGGGCUCCUCCCCUAAUUACAUAUUUGCCCCUUCCAUUAUUACAUAAUUACGUUUAAGUCCUUUGAGUAUUUAUACGAGGUCUAAAUACGAGGCCCUAAAUAUGGUAUAAAUAGUAGUCCCCCAAGUCUUCAGUCAAGAGAGUCUUUUGGCUGGAGACUUGAA
rnacentral:lncRNA from 1 species